UACGUAGGGACCGAGCGUUGUCCGGAUUCAUUGGGCGUAAAGAGCUCGUAGGCGGCUGCUCAAGUCGAAUGUGAAAACUCGAGGCUCAACCUCGAGCCUGCAUUCGAUACUGGGCGGCUAGAGUCUGGUAGGGGGAUCUGGAAUUCCUGGUGUAGCGGUGGAAUGCGCAGAUAUCAGGAGGAACACCGGUGGCGAAGGCGGCUUCCUGGACCGACACUGACGCUGAGGCGCGAAAGCUAGGGGAGCAAACGGG
rnacentral:rRNA from 1 species